rnacentral:rRNA from 1 species
GUCGAACGGUAGAGGGGGCAACCCCUUGAGAGUGGCGAACGGGUGAGUAAUAUAUCGGAACGUGCCCAGUCGUGGGGGAUAACGUAGCGAAAGUUACGCUAAUACCGCAUACGAUCUACGGAUGAAAGCGGGGGAUCGCAAGACCUCGCGCGAUUGGGGCGGCCGAUAUCAGAUUAGGUAGUUGGUGAGGUAAAGGCUCACCAAGCCAACGAUCUGUAGCUGGUCUGAGAGGACGACCAGCCACACUGGAACUGAGACACGGUCCAGACUCCUACGGGAGGCAGCAGUGGGGAAUUUUGGACAAUGGACGCAAGUCUGAUCCAGCCAUUCCGCGUGCAGGAUGAAGGCCCUCGGGUUGUAAACUGCUUUUGUACGGAACGAAAAGGUCUCUCUUAAUACGGGGGGCUCAUGACGGUACCGUAAGAAUAAGCACCGGCUAACUACGUGCCAGCAGCCGCGGUAAUACGUAGGGUGCAAGCGUUAAUCGGAAUUACUGGGCGUAAAGCGUGCGCAGGCGGUUAUAUAAGACAGAUGUGAAAUCCCCGGGCUCAACCUGGGAACUGCAUUUGUGACUGUAUAGCUAGAGUACGGUAGAGGGGGAUGGAAUUCCGCGUGUAGCAGUGAAAUGCGUAGAUAUGCGGAGGAACACCGAUGGCGAAGGCAAUCCCCUGGACCUGUACUGACGCUCAUGCACGAAAGCGUGGGGAGCAAACAGGAUUAGAUACCCUGGUAGUCCACGCCCUAAACGAU